GCGGCGAGCGAAGCGGGAAGAGCCCAUCGCCGAAUCCCCGAGCCCCCCGAGGGCCCGAGGGAACUGUGGCGUAAGGAAGUCCGGCCCCGCGGUCGCGCCGGCGCCGAGGUCCUUCUGAUCGAGGCAUGCUCCGUCCCAGGGCGGGUGUCAGGCCCCUGCGGGCGCCUGCCGGCCGCGGACCAGGGCUUCCGGGAGUCGGGUUGUUUUGUAGCGCAGCCCAAAGGCGGGUGGUAAACUCCAUCCAAGGCUAAAUACCUGCACGAGACCGAUAGAGC
rnacentral:rRNA from 1 species